rnacentral:rRNA from 1 species
AUUGAACGCUGGCGGCAGGCUUAACACAUGCAAGUCGAGCGGGGUGAUGGUGCUUGCACUAUCACUUAGCGGCGGACGGGUGAGUAAUGCUUAGGAAUCUGCCUAUUAGUGGGGGACAACAUCUCGAAAGGGAUGCUAAUACCGCAUACGUCCUACGGGAGAAAGCAGGGGAUCACUUGUGACCUUGCGCUAAAGAUGAGCCUAAGUCGGAUUAGCUAGUUGGUGGGGUAAAGGCCUACCAAGGCGACGAUCUGUAGCGGGCCUGAGAGGAUGAUCCGCCACACUGGGACUGAGACACGGCCCAGACUCCUACGGGAGGCAGCAGUGGGGAAUAUUGGACAAUGGGGGGAACCCUGAUCCAGCCAUGCCGCGUGUGUGAAGAAGGCCUUAUGGUUGUAAAGCACUUUAAGCGAGGAGGAGGCUCUUUUGGUUAAUACCCAAGAUGAGUGGACGUUACUCGCAGAAUAAGCACCGGCUAACUCUGUGCCAGCAGCCGCGGUAA